UCUGCUGCUAUGAAUGAGGCUUAAGAAAAGCUGUCUUUGGAUUUUGCUCCUAAGAGUCAUCUUCAUCACUCCUGCACGCGAGCACGCGCUCUCUCUCUCUCUCUCCUUUUCUCAGUUCCCUUAUGAAAUAAGGGCACACAGGUAAUAAACAAAGCACUAUAAAAGAUCAGAUUGAGGUAUUCUGUCGGCUCAUUCAAUGUCGGGAGCGGGCACUCGGCACACCAGCGCUGGGUGCUUUUAGCUUCAGGAGCGGGUUGGAAAGUGAGGGAGAGAUGGCACGUCUCGCCCCCUUUCUCUAACCUGGCUGAAUUUAUCAAGACCGUAUCCUUGGUCCACCGCACCACACCCGCCGGCGCCUGAGGGACAGAGGGGAACAUGGCAGAGCAGCUCCCCUUGGAUGCUGCUCCGUUGGAUUCUUGGAGCUUGACCUGACUUUCUCUGUCCAUCCUCUUGCCAGAUCCAGGGGGUGGCACUCUUGGAAACCUCCAAAAACAGCUUCAAGAGUCAAAACCCAGUGGUGCCUCCAGCUGGAAAAUGUAUGCCCAAUGGAAGACUCCUGUAGCAUCUCACACACUGUGAGCCUAAGACGGGUACCUAAUUCUUAGAGUCGAAUGGCAUGGCAGCCCUUUUUCUCCAUGAAAGAAAACACCCUGGGAGAUGUGGUCAAAGGAGGAGACUCGACGGCCUUUUCGUUUUCCUUCAUUUUUUUCAAAGAAGCCAAACGAGAACCUUAAGCGGCUGCUCCAGACAACAGUGUUCAUCGCAGGACUUGCCAAGACUGGGUGGAGAGGUUUUUACACCUAAGUCACUCAGCUCCUCCUUUGGCAGCCUCGGUCCCGAGCGUGAAUGUGAGGAUGCUGUGGCCUUUCGCCCUCGGCAUCACUGGCAUCACCACAGACGGUGCGGGGCGCUCUGUCCGCAGCAAGACCUCGCAAACGGAGGAAAAGUCAAGGGAGAGACGGUCCGCAGGGCCUUCUCUCGCCUGCCACAAACUGGCGUCAUUUUGGCUGCCAUCCCGGGGAGGAAAAGCCAGCCUCCAGAAACAGGGACGGACGAUCGGGAGCUGAUGUGAGAAAGCCGAUGUUGCUGUCCUCAGAAUGGGACAGGAAAACUGAGCAGGAAUGAACACAAGCGAAGAGUCCGCGGGAGUGCUUUUAGAGGAAGUCAAUCUAUGGGUGUUUCCAAGAAAGGAAGACGGAAUUCAGCGGGGCGCAUCAGAAAGAAAAAGAAUUAUGUCCACCAUUCUCCCAAAUGAUCUGCUAAAUGCAAAGACGCACACACACCCCCUUCUUGUUUUAUCGAUUCCUGCAUCAGUGGGCACGUUUGAUGAGGGUUUGUGUUCUUUCAUUUAUGUUCUAUUACCCCAACUCCAACCACGUGUGCACAGGCAGGCACACACGUGGACACACACUCUUGUGUGAGCAUGUGCUGCCCCCCCCCACACCCUGCAGCCUAUAAUCCUCCCCUACGCCCCUAUCCUGUUGAUCUUUCUUCAUUUAAAAAUUAUCAGCAAAGAAUUUAUUCAUUUGGGAGAAUUCCAGGCACUACACUUACGUUCAGUUCCAAUGAAAUGGGAUCCAGACUUUGCAAACUCUGCUGUUUUGCAGAUAAAACACAAAGGUGGGACCUCGUUGUUUGGAGACAUGGCCUUUUGUUUCUAAGCCAUUUUAAGCUUGCUUGGGAAGGCUCAUUACUGGGCCGAACAUUUUUCACCACAUCUAUUUCAGGAGGGUUUUUAGUUAAGAAUAAUGAAUUUAUCUCUAAACAGAUGGAAGAGUUUUACAAAGCUAGAAAAGACACUUUUGCUAAUAUCCCCUAUAGGCUGGUCUUAAUCCUCUCAUUGUUCAAAAUGCUUGGUCUAUGAGAGACUUAUUUAUGUGCCAAAUGUCUUUAUUAAAUCAUUAUAUUAACACAGAAAACAAUCCUAUUACAAUGUUUCUCUGUGUGAUCAAAAGUUAUCCGCAGUCCUGUUGAUAGCCUAUUUAUUCCAAAAUUCAAAAAGGUAAAAAUUCCAGUAGAGCCCAAUAUUUGGCCAAAUGUUUCAAAAUUCACUGUAAUUUGGCUGGAGGGGUUACUAGGUCCUAGCCAGGGAAAGACUUAAGUUUUAUCAAGGCAGUCAUCCCCAACAAAAAGAAAACUGAAAAAUAGGCCUUCCAUUCACCCAGAGAAAUGGAUUCUUGGCAACAAUGUACUAUGAUUUGACCUGUAGAGACACAAUGAGUCUAUGAUAUCCACUUUGAUUAAAAAAACAAACAAAAAAACCCAAACAGGAGUUCCCAUUGUGGAUCAGUGGGUUAUGA